AGGCUUUGAGAGAAGAGCUGUCCAGUCUGCUUGGGAAGUGUGAAAAACUGGAGAAGAGCAAAUGCCAGCUGCAAGAAGAGAUGACAAAACUCCAUCAUCGACUGGAGACUUUGGGGCUGGAUGGCAGCCAAACAGAACAAUGGAAAAGAGAGGUGGCAGAACGAGCUGACCAGGAAAUAAGUCCAAAGCUACAAGACGUCAGCCUCGUUUUGCCAGCACAGGCAGCCCACCAGGACACAUUAGGACAAAUUGGAGACAGUCAUUGUGAUCCCAUGAGAAUCCAGCUGGAAGAAAGAAUUAGAGAUCUGGAAAGUGAAUUGGACAGGGUCAAAAACACCCAACAAGAGAGUGCUUCUCGGAAAGAAGCAACACAGGGCCAAAUGGAAAUGUACAAGGAGCUGUAUCUGGAGGAAGUGACAACCAGAAGAUGCCUUGCCAAGAAACUGGAAAGGCUGGAAAAGCUUCUGAGGAUAGACAGGAGGAAAGUCAGGGUUAAUGAAGAGAAAGAAAGCCAGUCCCAGCUGGAAGAAAU